GCCGUGACAUGGCCACCCUGUGACACUACACACAGUCACACACAGUCACACACACAGUCACACAGUGAGUGUGUGUAGUGUGUGUGUGAGUGAGAGGUGAGCACGCAUGCCUUCCUCUAGAUGCCGUGACAUGGCCACCCUGUGACACUACACACAGUCACACACAGUCACACACACAGUCACACAGUGAGUGUGUGUAGUGUGUGUGUGAGUGAGAGGUGAGCACGCAUGCCUUCCUCUAGAUGCCGUGACAUGGCCACCCUGUGACACUACACACAGUCAC